ACUAUCUUUUCCAUCCUAUGAGAGGGAGAAAGUGAAGAGCCCUGCUAGGUCUCAAAAGGAUCCUGCUCAGGUGGAAGUGACUGGAGGAGAUUUGCCACCUGAUGAUGAUGUGGAGAGCGUUUCAGCCCAGAUGCUGGAGAACUUGGGAGAUUCGGUUUCUGAUAACGAAAUUAAUGAAUCAGUGAAUGUUACAAGAGAAGAAGAACAGAGAAGAGUUGGAAAUCGUCCAAGGAGGAUGAUAAAACCAGUUCAGAAACUAAGUUAUGAUGCACUUGGGAAAUCUACUGAUAGACCCUUAACAAUCGUAUAUAGGGGUAUGGUAGUGAAAAUUCAAGAGUCUUCUAAGGUGAAGGGUACUUGCAAUACGUUGUGGUGUCACCCAAUGGCCACAUGUGAACAUUGUGUUAAUGUGCAUCCAAACCUGAAAUCUGAAGUUAUGCUACAGUUGUAGUUAAAAACCUCAUGGGGACAUGAGUAUUUUAGUAGGGGGAGAGUGUAACCCAGUUAGGGUUAUUAUGUUGAGUUAAUGACAGAAUGGGUUAAUGAUGGGUAAAAUAAGCAAGUUAUUAUUGAGUAAAUAAUAUCUAAUACAUGAGAAGGGGUUAAUUUGGAAUACAUAAGAUGGGAGUACAUUAUUUAUGCUUAUGUACAUGUAUUAUUUUGUGUUUCAGUUGAGAACUAUAUUUUAAAGCACUGUUUCUUUAAGAAAUACGGUGAUACUUAAAGUUUGUAUGUAAUGCACUUGCAGAAAAUGUGCUUUUGCCUAGCAAGUUAGUAUUAUUUUUUGCUGAUAGGUUGAUGUUUUAUUUGUUCCCACCCUCAAGUGUGAGAGUGUGAUUCUGAUUGGAGGAGAUAAAAAAAGGUGAAGAGAGAGGUACGCACGAGAGUGUUGUUGAGAUGGUGGAGAAGAAAAUGUACAUGUAAACGCUGUAUAAGUUGUUGAAACUUACAUUUCUUCAAAUCGGAGAGUUUAAGGACAUUCAUGAAAGUGUAUGCACGUUACUCUGCACGAGUAUAAGCCGGUUUUCUUUUGUAGUGUUGAGUUCAGUUGUUAAUGUGAGAAUACACGAUAGAUAAUCGGACAUUCAAGUACACUGGACUGGAUUAAAGUUUAUUUUGUUUCAUCUAACAAGUCUUGCUGGAUCAACAAAGACCCAGAUAGCGUUCUAAAUCCCCGAGUGAUUUAGAAUUCCUCUGGCGCCGUGGGACAUGAUCAGCUCAACAGCGUCAGGUGAGCGAGAGAGAGAGAGCGCGUGUUUGAGCUUCGGAGGAGUCUAACGAGAACGCUGAUAAUCAAGGAAUUCAGCCUUAAAGAUGUGCAUACAAGAGCUACUAGAGGGAUCGUCCUGCACCAUCCAGCUGCCAACAAGAAACAAAGAAAAACCUAGUGAGAUAAGAUGGACCCAUCUCUCUAGUGGUGACUUCAUUCACAGGAAAAAUGGGACGAUCAGGACAAGCACAACAGGUCUAACAAUGGAAGAAGAUGGAUCAUUAGUAUUUGAAAGUGUUAGUAUGAAGAACACCGGCAGAUAUGCAUACACUGUUUUUAAUGCUGAAGGUACACUGAUUGAUGCUGGAGAAAAGGAAAUUAACGUUUAUGCUACAAAAUCAGACAUCAGAAGACUACAGAGAACGGUUCGGACUGCUGAAGAAUUGUUGGUGCUCCUCUGCCCACCCUUCAAGAACUGUAUACAUCUAGAGAGAGGAAAACGGCUCAGAAUCACUCUGGAUCCCUCACAUCCAAGUCACCCCAUCUUUGAACUUUUGCCAUCUGGCCGGCGCUUCAGAGCCGCAAAUAGUCAGGCACAAGAACAGUUUCUUCACCAAGGCAAUCUACCUCAUGAACAGUUAAGUGUUCCCCACUUAUCCAAUAAAAACGUGCAAUGUCCUUAUAUUUAUUUGUUUCCCCUCCAUCCUAGUAAAUCCCUGCAUCUAACUCAAUCCUAUUCCAUUAUCAUUUAUAGCACAAUUUUUUGUAAACUUGUUUAUUUGCAAAAGUUGUUGUCUCUGUGUACUGGAAGCUUAUGUCACUAAAACAGAUUCCUUGUAUGUGCAAACAUACUUGGCAAUAAAGCUCAUUCUGAUUCUGAAACUCAAGCUCAAUUGACAGGAACUAAAACCGGGAAGAUAACAAGGGACAGACAGGUUAACACAAUAGCCCCUUUCACACUGCGAUUCAGGAGUAAUGUGUCCCAGCAAUCGUUUCCGGGUCGCUAGAUUUUGCGAUUUCACACUGCCAGUGAUUUCCUGGAAUAUGUGCCUGCGUUCACACACAACACGUUUUUUUUUACGGUGUGAAUGUUGAUCUGCCAUCAAAACACCCAGUAAAAAAGUUGCG